rnacentral:rRNA from 5 species
CAACUUUCAGCAACGGAUCUCUUGGCUCUCGCAUCGAUGAAGAACGCAGCGAAAUGCGAUAAGUAAUGUGAAUUGCAGAAUUCAGUGAAUCAUCGAAUCUUUGAACGCACCUUGCACUCCUUGGUAUUCCGAGGAGUAUGCCUGUUUGAGUCUCAUGG